rnacentral:rRNA from 1 species
CCUACGGGUGGCAGCAGUCGAGAAUCAUUCACAAUGGGGGAAACCCUGAUGGUGCGACGCCGCGUGGGGGAAUGAAGGUCUUCGGAUUGUAAACCCCUGUCAUGUGGGAGCAAAUUAAAAAGAUAGUACCACAAGAGGAAGAGACGGCUAACUCUGUGCCAGCAGCCGCGGUAAUACAGAGGUCUCAAGCGUUGUUCGGAAUCACUGGGCGUAAGGCGUGCGUAGGCUGUUUCGUAGGUCGUGUGUGAAAGGCGCGGGCUCAACCCGCGGACGGCACAUGAUACUGCGAGACUAGAGUAAUGGAGGGGGAGCCGGAAUUCUCGGUGUAGCAGUGAAAUGCGUAGAUAUCGAGAGGAACACUCGUGGCGAAGGCGGGUUCCUGGACAUUAACUGACGCUGAGGCACGAAGGCCAGGGGAGCGAAAGGGAUUAGAUACCCCAGUAGUC